rnacentral:lncRNA from 1 species
CGUCAGUGCAGUGUCAAUAACUAACCACUACCAAGAGCUCGUUCCUUUUUCAUUUGGCUAGGCUAUAAAAAAAAAAAAUCCCCAGCAUAUACAUAGAUACAGACAGACAGACAGACAUACAUACAUACAUACAUAUUUAUUUUACUCAUCCCUCUGGAAAAAGCCAGUAUCUUCAUACUGGACAUCGACUUGGAUGUUUGAAGUGUGAAACCGUAGUGUUGCAUUGUUCCGCGGUAGAAAUGCGCCGGUGGCGGCGCUGGACGCAGAUGCUAUGACAGCCAUGAUCCGUGUCUAACGGGAGAGGGUGUAGUCUACAUGGAACCACAACACUGAUGAGAGUGUAAGAUCUUUUGACUGGAUUUCGCAAAAUAACAUCGUGUAGUCGGGGAAGCGCCUAUCGUAUUGCGGAGGGGGACAUUUCUUUUGUUUAUCUGGGAGAGAUCAGUGCAUCUGGAGUAUUGUAGGAUGCAAAGGUGUUUCUCUGAGAAACAAAGAUGAGCGUGACAUCGUGGUUCCUGGUCAGCAGCUCUGGUACUCGUCACCGUCUGCCACGGGAAAUGAUCUUUGUUGGCCGGGAAGACUGCGAGCUAAUGCUGCAGGUAGGAUUUUAAUUUGCCCUUGCACUGAAAUGUUAAAAAAAGUAUGUCUUAACCACAUUUGUGAAUGCACCAGGAACUGUUACCUAGCAAGUAUAAGUACAAAUAUUUCUGCAAAUAAUAUGUUGAAUAUUGAAUAUAAAUAUCAUCUUCUGUAGGAAACAGACAAAAUGGUCUACAAAGCUUGCACUACAGCUGUAGUACUUUGUGCUGUGUCAUGCUGAAGUACUGCUGUUCAGGGCCGGAUUAAAGGGACACUCCACCCCAAAAUGAUAAUUUUGUCAUUAAUCACUUACCCCCAUAUCGUUCCAAACACAUAAAAGCUCUGUUUGUCUUCUGAACACAAUUUAAGAUAUUUUCCACGCCACAAGGAUGCGCUGUUUUCUUUUAAAUCAAAGCUAAAUAGAUGUAGAAACAGCGCGUCCUUGUGGCGCGGAUGAUACAGAGGAGCAUACACAGCAUACAUGAUAUGGAGAAACACAGAGGAGACUGUUGAAAAGGAAUUGUUGAAUAAAGUCGUUAAUUUUGUUUUCUUUGCUUACAAAAAGUGUUCUCGUCGCUUCAUAUAAACCAGAUUGCACGUCUGAUGGCAGAUGGAGUAUUCUGACGAUGACUUUUAUACCUUUUAUGGACCUUGACACUGUUAUUUACAGUCUAUGGGACAGUCACAGGCCUCCCUGUUUUCAUCCAAAACAUCUUAACUUGGUGUUCUGACGAACUGAGCUUUUACGGGUUUGGAACGACAUGGGGUUAAGUGAUUAACCCUCUGGGGUCGACUAACGCGGAUACGCGUUUUGUGGCAUCUUCUCCUGAUAACACUGAAAAUAACUUAAAUUACACUUUCGGUUUUGAUAAUACAGAUAAGAGCAAUACAUUAAUCGAAUCUGGAAAGGGUCUACUAUUUGUAUACACACAUAAUAACAACAAAACUUUGUGCAUUUAGAAAAUAAAGAAAACAAACCGGGUGCGCUGUCUGCCACCUUGGUCUGCGGUGAUCUUCAUUUAGAAAUGCAUUAUUAAAAUUAACUGUAACUCAGCAAAUACUCAAAACAGAGACAUGAGAGAUAUAUCUAUAGAAAGCUUGACAUGUCUAUUUUAAACUAAGCAAGUCUUAUUGAAAACAAAUAUUCUGUGAUAAAGUAAUCCAUAUGAAACCAACGCAAUGUCCAGUCUUUCACGUCUCCCUUCAUUAUAUGUAAUGUGACCAUGCCCACGCGCUAAGCGCACUAUUGAUAUUACAAUCAUCCACGUGAAGCUCGCGGCAGGUAACUGCCCACAUCAGAGCAAACAAAGCAGCGAGUGUUUUAAAUGUGACUUUUCGCUUCGUGCUGAGAGGAAUAAGACAGAAUUCCCCUCAGAAAAGGCUCGCUAUGACAAAUAAAACAGAAUUCACCUCAAGAAGCUUUGGAUUACCUUUGGAUUAUUGAUGCAGCGGCUUGAUCCAGCAGAGAUCAUAAACAUGAGUAAGUAUUUUUUUUAUUAACCUACUUGUAUUAGUUUUCACAUAACUUGUACACAUUACUAGUUAGACUU